AACGCGAAGAACCUUACCUGGGCUCGAACGGCUUCUCAACGGCAGUGGAAACACUGCUACUCCGCAAGGGGGUGGAGUCGAGGUGCUGCAUGGCUGUCGUCAGCUCGUGUCGUGAGAUGUUGGGUUAAGUCCCGCAACGAGCGCAACCCUUGUCCUGUUUUGGCAUGCCGCAAGGCGCAACUAUCAGGAGACCGCCAGCGAUAAGCUGGAGGAAGGUGGGGAUGACGUCAAGUCAUCAUGGCCUUUAUGUCCAGGGCUACACACGUGCUACAAUGGGCGGUACAAAGCGCUGCAAACCCGCGAGGGGGAGCUAAUCGCAAAAAACCGUCCUCAGUUCGGAUCGCAGGCUGCAACUCGCCUGCGUGAAGCUGGAAUCGCUAGUAAUGGCAUAUCAGAACGAUGCCGUGAAUACGUUCCCGGGCCUUGUACACACCGCGAGC
rnacentral:rRNA from 1 species